CAAACAUCCCAAUCAUAACCGCCAGAUACCAGAUGACAUUCCUGAAGUUCUCCUCAGCCAGAGUCUUGUCCAAAGCGUUGGCUGCAGCUGUCAUAUUACGCCUCCAGUUGUCCAGUAUAACACAGAAAACAACACAUUACGAAGAGUGAAGUGAAGUGAAAUAACCCAGACUAAGAUGUUUACGUAGGACCCAUCACUCACGGUAAGGAGGUUUUCGAAGGCCACGUCAAGAAACUGGUCAGGAGAUGAAGACACUUUGGAGUGAAAACGAAGUAAAGAGGCAAUGGCAGGGAGCACGGC